UCCUGAUUUGUGUGUGUGUAUUGUAUUUGAAUGGAACAAGAGAAAGCAGAGAAAGAGAGAGGGAGAUGGGACAUCCAAUACUGUGAUUAGAAAUAUGGGUGUAUAUCUGUUUGAAGUCUAGUCUGUGAAGCUCACAGCACUCCUUCUCUUUUUGCAGGGCUCAUCACAUAGAUGCUGAGUGCAACUGCUGAGGCUACUUAUUUCCACUUGGUGAAGCUGAACCCUGUUGCUACCCAUUUCACAUCUCAGGUAAGCUGCAUUGCUGUACGGAGAUGUCCUUACCGUCUCCCGGGUGAGCUGCAUUGCUGUAUGGGACCUCAACUCCACUGGGCCCCCAGGGGCCCCAACUGCAGCCUGGGACAUCAGCUUCCUCUGAGCCUCUACAUGUGUCAUAACACACACAACAUCAUCAGUAUCAUCAGUGUGACAUCAUCAAUCAGGGACAGAGAAGCAGGAAUGCACCAGGAGAAGUUGACAAACAAAAAUACAUUUGAGGAGUCACAGGAACACAAGGAAGAGUCACAAAUGUGGUCAAGCAAUAAAAUAACUAUUGUACAUUGAUACAAUAACAAUGCUGGCUGUUACUGGUUCUAACUGAUCAGAUCUCUGUGAUCUGUUUGUGUUUGUUUGGCUGACAAGACAUUGGUUAGUCAUGAAACCCUGACUGGGAACAAGGGAACAUACAACCUCCUCUCUCCUUCUUCUACCCAUUUCUCACCUAUCCGCCCUGCAUCCUGUAACUGGAUCUUUAGCAUCUCCAUGGGAGUGGUGAUGAUGACCUGCACCAAGAGAUGGAGAGAUGGAGAGACAAAGAGAUGGAGACACAGA